rnacentral:rRNA from 1 species
UACGAAGGGGGCUAGCGUUGCUCGGAAUCACUGGGCGUAAAGGGUGCGUAGGCGGGUCUUAAGUCAGGGGUGAAAUCCCGCAGCUCAACUGCGGAACUGCGUCGGAUACUAUUCGGCUUGAGGAAUGGAGGGGAGACUGGAAUUCUCGGUGUAGCAGUGAAAUGCGUAGAUAUCGAGAGGAACACCAGUGGCGAAGGCGAGUCUCUGGACAUUUCCUGACGCUGAGGAGCGAAAGCCAGGGGAGCAAACGGG